rnacentral:lncRNA from 1 species
GAGCGCCAGAACCGAUGAUAGUCCCUCUGCUUAAUUAGCUAUUGUCUCCCCUGGGGGUUCGGUUCGUCAACAAAGGUAUAGUAGUCUGGGCCCUUUCUUUCCUAUUUUCUGGACAGGGCCUAAAGGAGCAAAAGCCAGUGCAUGGUAGCGCCUCCAGAGUUGGAGGUCAGUGCGAACCUUGCUAAGGCCAGGUCCGAAGGAAGCGAGGACUAUGAUUUAGCUGUUAAAUAAAGUUCCUUUCCAAAGCUAGCCAGGAGGGAAUCCAUAAUCUAAAUUGUCAAGUAGUGGUGCUGCUGAGUUUGCCAAAAGAUUUAGAGUUAAGAAUAUAACUGU